rnacentral:rRNA from 1 species
CAGUCGCCGCGGUAAUACAGAGGGUGCGAGCGUUAAUCGGAUUUACUGGGCGUAAAGCGUGCGUAGGCGGCUUCUUAAGUCGGAUGUGAAAUCCCUGAGCUUAACUUAGGAAUUGCAUUCGAUACUGGGAAGCUAGAGUAUGGGAGAGGAUGGUAGAAUUCCAGGUGUAGCGGUGAAAUGCGUAGAGAUCUGGAGGAAUACCGAUGGCGAAGGCAGCCAUCUGGCCUAAUACUGACGCUGAGGUACGAAAGCAUGGGGAGCAAACAGGAUUAGAUACCCGUGUAGUCCCUGUCUCUUAUAU